rnacentral:rRNA from 1 species
AGCAGCCGCGGUAAUUCCAGCUCCAAUAGCGUAUAUUAAAGUUGUUGCAGUUAAAAAGCUCGUAGUUGAAUUUCGGGGUCAGUAGAUUGGUCGUGCCACUGGUAUGUACUGGUCUUACUGGCUCCUCCUUCCUGAUGAACCGUAAUGCCAUUAAUUUGGUGUUGCGGGGAAACUGGACUGUUACUUUGAAAAAAUUGAGUGUUUAAAGCAGGCUAACGCUUGAAUACAUUAGCAUGGAAUAAUGAAAUAGGACGUUCGAUCUUAUUUUGUUGGUUUCUAGGAUUUGACGUAAUGAUUAAUAGGGAUAGUUGGGGGGCAUUAGUAUUCAAUUGUCAGAGGUGAAAAUUCUUGGAUUUAUUGAAGACUAACUACUGCGAAAGCAUUUGCCAAGGAUGUUUUCAUUAAUCAAGAACGAAAGUUAGGGAUCGGAGACGAUCAGAUACCGUCGUAGUCUUAACCAUAAACCUAUGCCGACUAGGGAUCGGAUGAUGUUAUUUUUAANGUACUCAUUCGGCGCCUU